AUACGGGGGGUGCAAGCGUUAAUCGGAAUCACUGGGCGUAAAGGGUGCGUAGGCGGUACAUUAGGUCUGUCGUGAAAUCCCCGGGCUCAACCUGGGAAUGGCGGUGGAAACCGGUGCACUAGAGUAUGGGAGAGGGUGGUGGAAUUCCAGGUGUAGCGGUGAAAUGCGUAGAGAUCUGGAGGAACAUCAGUGGCGAAGGCGGCCACCUGGCCCAAUACUGACGCUGAGGCACGAAAGCGUGGGGAGC
rnacentral:rRNA from 1 species